UUGCAUUAGGGAUUAAAGCGACAUCCUUUUUAUUUUGCUUCUUGAGGUGUCACACUGAGCUUGUCGAAGUGCCGUAAGAGAAAAAUAAAAAGAUACAGCGGAAAGCCCGACCUGAA
rnacentral:sRNA from 1 species